rnacentral:rRNA from 1 species
GGUAAGGCCCUUUCGGGGGUACACGAGUGGCGAACGGGUGAGUAACACGUGGGUAAUCUGCCCUGCACUUCGGGAUAAGCCUGGGAAACCGGGUCUAAUACCGGAUAUGAGCUCCUGCCGCAUGGUGGGGGUUGGAAAGUUUUUCGGUGCAGGAUGAGUCCGCGGCCUAUCAGCUUGUUGGUGGGGUAAUGGCCUACCAAGGCGACGACGGGUAGCCGGCCUGAGAGGGUGAUCGGCCACACUGGGACUGAGACACGGCCCAGACUCCUACGGGAGGCAGCAGUGGGGAAUAUUGCACAAUGGGCGGAAGCCUGAUGCAGCGACGCCGCGUGGGGGAUGACGGUCUUCGGAUUGUAAACUCCUUUCAGUAGGGACGAAGCGAGAGUGACGGUACCUGCAGAAGAAGCACCGGCCAACUACGUGCCAGCAGCCGCGGUAAUACGUAGGGUGCAAGCGUUGUCCGGAAUUACUGGGCGUAAAGAGCUCGUAGGCGGUUUGUCGCGUCGUCUGUGAAAUCCUCCAGCUCAACUGGGGGCGUGCAGGCGAUACGGGCAGACUUGAGUACUACAGGGGAGACUGGAAUUCCUGGUGUAGCGGUGAAAUGCGCAGAUAUCAGGAGGAACACCGGUGGCGAAGGCGGGUCUCUGGGUAGUAACUGACGCUGAGGAGCGAAAGCAUGGGGAGCAAACAGGAUUAGAUACCC